GGAAGGUAGCCAGAUACGGUUUGCUGGGCCGGUUUGCUACACCGCGCGACCACCAAUGGUCUUGAGGGUUCGAAUCCCUCGCCUUCCG
rnacentral:tRNA from 1 species